rnacentral:lncRNA from 1 species
CGAACCCCAGGAGUGAGGGCGCACAGCCGGGACGAGGAAGCGGCGGUCGGAAACCCCGCACCAGCGCUGCCAGCUUGCGGUCCGACGUGGGCUCAGCGCCCUGGGCGCGGAUUGAAUACAUGAUAAAUUGGUCUAAAAUGACCGAGUUUUCAUCUCAGUAAGACACGGAAGCCAUCCCAGAAGUUCUGCAUCCAGGUGCAUCUGGUAUAGUGUCUGAGACUAAUU